UACGUAGGGGCAGCAGUGUUCGGUUCGAUUUGUGGCGUAAAGAGCGUGUAGGCGGUUUGGUAGGUCCGCUGUGAAAACUCGAGGCUCAACCUCGAGACGCCGGUGGAAACCAUCAGGCUAGAGUCCGGAAGAGGAGAGUGGAAUUCCCGGUGUAGCGGUGAAAUGCGCAGAUAUCGGGAAGAACACCCGUGGCGAAGGCGGCUCUCUGGGACGGUACUGACGCUGAGACGCGAAAGCGUGGGGAGCGAACAGG
rnacentral:rRNA from 1 species